UUUAACAUGAGAGUUUGAUCCUGGCUCAGGAUGAACGCUGGCGGCGUGCUUAACACAUGCAAGUCGAGCGAAGCAAUUUAAGUGAAGUUUUCGGAUGGAUCUUAAAUUGACUGAGCGGCGGACGGGUGAGUAACGCGUGGAUAACCUGCCUCACACAGGGGGAUAACAGUUAGAAAUGACUGCUAAUACCGCAUAAGCGCACGGUACCGCAUGGUACAGUGUGAAAAACUCCGGUGGUGUGAGAUGGAUCCGCGUCUGAUUAGGUAGUUGGUGAGGUAACGGCCCACCAAGCCGACGAUCAGUAGCCGACCUGAGAGGGUGACCGGCCACAUUGGGACUGAGACACGGCCCAAACUCCUACGGGAGGCAGCAGUGGGGAAUAUUGCACAAUGGGCGAAAGCCUGAUGCAGCAACGCCGCGUGAGUGAAGAAGUAUCUCGGUAUGUAAAGCUCUAUCAGCAGGGAAGAAAAUGACGGUACCUGACUAAGAAGCCCCGGCUAACUACGUGCCAGCAGCCGCGGUAAUACGUAGGGGGCAAGCGUUAUCCGGAUUUACUGGGUGUAAAGGGAGCGCAGACGGCACUGCAAGUCUGAAGUGAAAGCCCGGGGCUCAACCCCGGGACUGCUUUGGAAACUGUAGAGCUAGAGUGCUGGAGAGGCAAGCGGAAUUCCUAGUGUAGCGGUGAAAUGCGUAGAUAUUAGGAAGAACACCAGUGGCGAAGGCGGCUUGCUGGACAGUAACUGACGU
rnacentral:rRNA from 1 species